rnacentral:rRNA from 1 species
CCGGCAAACGGGUGCGGAACACGUACGCAACCUUCCUUUAACUGGAGAAUAGCCCCUCGAAAGAGGGAUUAAUACUCCGUAACAUGAUGACCCCGCAUGGGGUUAUUAUUAAAGCUCCGGCGGUUAGAGAUGGGCGUGCGCCUGAUUAGGUAGUUGGCGGGGUAACGGCCCACCAAGCCUGCGAUCAGUAACUGGUGUGAGAGCACGACCAGUCACACGGGCACUGAGACACGGGCCCG